CCAGCAGCNCGGGUAAUACGGAGGGUGCAAGCGUUAAUCGGAAUUACUGGGCGUAAAGCGCACGCAGGCGGUUUGUUAAGUCAGAUGUGAAAUCCCCGGGCCCUUUUGGGAACUGCAUCUGAUACUGGCAAGCUUGAGUCUCGCCUUUGGGGGUAGAAUUCCAGGUGUAGCGGUGAAAUGCGUAGAGAUCUGGAGGAAUACCGGUGGCGAAGGCGGCCCCCUGGACGAAGACUGACGCUCAGGUGCGAAAGCGUGGGGAGCAAACAGGAUUAGAUACCCUGGUA
rnacentral:rRNA from 1 species